rnacentral:rRNA from 1 species
GCUCAAUGAUUUUUUAAAUUGCUGCGGUAUUUUGACUGUGCUAAGGUAGCGAAGUCAUUUGUUUCUUUAUUGGGAACUUGUAUGAGUGGAGUAAUAGGUGCUUUUAUGAAUUGAGCUUAAAGUGAAUUUGAUUUUUCUAAGAAAAGUUAGAAGUUUUCCUAAAGACGAGAAGACCCCAAAAUCUUUAUUUUAAUUUAUAGGAUUUAAUUUUUAUUUGGGGGAAAGAUUGAUUUUUAUUUAUUGUUUUAUUAUUGCGAACUUUUUUAGGGUGUAUGGAUAGAUACUUUGGGGGUAACAGGAUUAUUUUCUUUUGAAGUUCUUAUUUUAGGGGAAGUUUAUUACCUCGAUGUUGGCUUUUGAUUUUAGUUGGGGGUAGCUUUUCAAACUAAUAGUCUGUUCGACUAUUAAAAUUGAACAUGAUCUGAGUUCAGACCGG